rnacentral:lncRNA from 1 species
AAAAUAACUAAUAUGCUAGAAAUUACUUUUUAAAUGUUGAAAAAUUAGUUAAUAUACUGGGAAUUACUUUUUAAAUGCUGAAAAGUGUUUAAUAUGCUUGAAAUUCAUUUUAUAUGCUGACAAUUUAUUACAUAUGCAGAAAAUUGAUAAAACACGCAAAAAAAAAAUAUAAAUGCUGAAAAUUAAUUUGACAUGUUCUAGGUUAAAUUAACAUGCUUGAACAGAAAUUAAUUAAUAAUUCCUAAAAUAUGAUUUCUAAGUGUUAAAGUAAUUUAAUUAAAUACCGUAAACUAUGUUUUGCCUAGGUGAUAAAGAAGUUCAGCAGAUAAUCCCCGCCCCUAUAAACAAUCCCCUAUAUUCAUUUGUUAUGGUCAUAGAGUUUGUACAUAUUGUUACAGACCAAAAUUAGUGAAAAAUAAAAUAAAUUAACAUAAGAAAAAAAAGAAAAAAAAAAAGGGUAAAUUCGACAGCCCUUAAACACCCUCAAAUCCUUGGCAACUCCUUAUCUCGUCUAAAUCAAAUGACUCUUGAGUGGAACCUAUCAAACACAAACAAAUGCACAAAACGAGCUAACCGAAAUCCGAAAGAAAAUCCUAGGCACCCCAUAAUCCCCCGUUGACGUCUCAAAGAUCCUGAGGAUCUCAAGGAUCCCAGGCAAGUCUCAUGUCAUAAGAGGAUUAUGAGAUACACUAAGAUUUUUUCGAAUUCACUCAAUACAACACUCAAGCCAAUGGACCUCACACAUGGUUCAACAUUUAAUUACAAAUAAAGAAGAAAAAUCAUAGCAUUUGUAAGCAAACAUAGGGGUAAAUCAAUUUAUCAUCAUAGUAGUCAAAUUAUUCUUCAAAUAUUAUGAGUUAAUGUAAGAAUUUAUAUGCAAACGGAUUCUAACACAGAAGAAUAUGUAAUUGCAUCAAUAAACCACUAGCCGUUUAGAAGUGGAGAAACAAUAAACCAACUCGAAAGCAAGAAGAGGAUGAAUCAAAUUAACUUGAGCAAUUAGCAAUAAUAGUCGACCAAAGCCUAGGUACAGAAUAUUAUAAAUAUAAAUAUCAAAUUGAGAGUAUAAGACUGUCAGAGUAGAAGUUAAGCUCUGUCUCAAAAAUGAGAAGAGGCAUCCUUUUUAUAGUGAAAGCAGAUAGUUAUUAAAAAGGAAUAAAAUCUAUAAAAUAACAAUUAGAAAAUCCUAAUUCCUUGAUUAACUUAGUAAAAUCUAUUAGGAGAGAGGGUUUUGUCAAGUUUAACAUAAAUAAACAUAAAUUAACCAACCACAAUUCUCAAUUAAGUCAAUCGAUUUGUCGAGAAAUUAAGCUAGACCAAAAUAAUAGAUUUGGAGGCUGUUAUAAUUAUAAUUUCACCACAAAAGGAAAACAAUUAUUCAAAGCUACCAAGGUUUACCAAAAGAUCAGUACCAAAGUUAUAUAUAUUGUAUAAGGUGAGAAUCUCAAAUUACCACAUUUAAUCAUAAUAGGCUUUUAUAAAUCGGAUUUAAGCAAGACAAGAAACGAGCAGGUAAAGUUAUUACAUAAUUUGAACUGAUUCAAAAAUGAGCACUAAUCAGUUUCAAUUCAUAAAUGAAGAACCAUGCCAAUAUCAAAAAUAGUAAAGACUUUAGGCAAACAAAUUCUAAAUUCGAACUCAAUAGUAAAGUGUCGACCUUAUCGAUGCCAGGAUAAUCAAUUAAUCGAGCAAGUAAGAUAGGUUUCAGUAGUCAUGCUAAUUAGUGUCCACCCAGAAAUUAGGGUUAGAGUAAAAAUCAUAAAAAUUAGGGAUUUUCACAUAUAUUUAUCUAGCGAUGUAAAUAAACACAUCAUUGAAGAAAUUAAACCAAGAUACACAAUCAAACAUCACGAAUUCUGAAUCUAAGGAUCUGUUUUUUUCUAAAACAUCAAACAAACAUGAAAUUUAAGGUGUUGACAAAUCACACCAGACAACAAUCAUAGUGAGAUUCACCAAAAACCUCGCUUGUCAUCAACUCCAGCGAGGACGUGACGAAUGAGAUGAGAGGAAGGCGAAGGGUGCAAGCGGAUAAAAUAGCGGAGAGAAAAGAUGGGGCUUGGCGGUUGUUGGUGGUUGAGGCGUUGUUUGUUGGUUAUCACCAAUGGGAGGUGAAGAGGCGACAAGGAGAGGCGGGGCGGCGAAAGGCAGAGCCGCGAUAGCUGCUCGCGGGAUUGGAUGGUUUUGCGUGCCGAUAAUGGGAAAAAGAGAUUGAGAGGGAGAAGUGAAGUGGUGACGGAUGGUUUUGGGCAAGGGUAGCCGACCGGAGUAUAGGGUAAAUAUGGUGGGAGAAGAGUUUAGAGAGAGAGAGAAGAGAGAUGGGAGAGAAGAUAGUGGUUGAUUUUCUUAAGAAUGAGAUAUUAGGGUUUGGUUUUAGGAUUAGUUUUGA